rnacentral:rRNA from 1 species
ACGUAGGGUGCGAGCGUUAAUCGGAAUUACUGGGCGUAAAGUGUGCGCAGGCGGCCGCGCAAGUCGAGUGUGAAAGCCCCGAGCUUAACUUGGGAAUUGCGCUCGAAACUGCGUGGCUGGAGUGUGGCAGAGGAAGGUGGAAUUCCAGGUGUAGCGGUGAAAUGCGUAGAGAUCGGGAGGAACACCAGCGGCGAAGGCGGCCCCCUGGGCCGCUCCUGACGCUGAGACGCGAAGGCCAGGGUAGCGAACGGGA